rnacentral:rRNA from 1 species
GUGAACGCUGGCGGUAGGCCUAACACAUGCAAGUCGAACGGCAGCACAGUAAGAGCUUGCUCUUCCGGGUGGCGAGUGGCGGACGGGUGAGGAAUACAUCGGAAUCUACUUUUUCGUGGGGGAUAACGUAGGGAAACUUACGCUAAUACCGCAUACGACCUACGGGUGAAAGCAGGGGAUCUUCGGACCUUGCGCGAUUGAAUGAGCCGAUGUCGGAUUAGCUAGUUGGCGGGGUAAAGGCCCACCAAGGCGACGAUCCGUAGCUGGUCUGAGAGGAUGAUCAGCCACACUGGAACUGAGACACGGUCCAGACUCCUACGGGAGGCAGCAGUGGGAAAUAUUGGACAAUGGGCGCAAGCCUGAUCCAGCCAUACCGCGUGGGUGAAGAAGGCCUUCGGGUUGUAAAGCCCUUUUGUUGGGAAAGAAAAGCAGCAGGUUAAUACCCCGCUGUUCUGACGGUACCCAAAGAAUAAGCACCGGCUAACUUCGUG